AUCGGGAAGAUUUUGUACUUCUCUCUGAAUGAGAUGGAGGCCACCAGACAGUUUGGGGUGGAAGAAACUAAAAUUUAACCUCAGUUUCUAAAGGUCGCUCUGGCGACUAUAUUCAGAGUGGACAGCAGAGGGCGUAGUGGGUUGAAAGGCGGCUCCCAAGUUCACAUCCAGCAGGAACCUGUGAAUGUGACCUCAUUAGGGACAAGAGUCGUUGCCGAUGGAACGAAGUCCAGAGUCUCCAGAUGAGCUCAUCCCGGAAGAGAAAGGGGAGAAAACACAGAGGAGAAGAUGAGGUGAAAACAGAGACUGAGAUCAGAGUGAUGCUUCUACAAGCCAAGGACCACCCAGGAUGGACGGCAGCCCCCAGAAGCCAGGAGUGAGGGCUGGAAUGGAUUCUCCCCCAGAACCUCCAGAAGGACCAAUUCUGCUGACACCUUGAUUUUGGACUUCUGACCUCCAGAACUUGAGACAAUAAAUUCCUGUUGUUUUAAGCCACCAAGCUUGCGGUAACUUCUCAGAUGGCCGAGAAAACAGUACAGGGACCAAGCUGGAAGCAGGAAGACCAUUGGGUGGCUACUGCAAUAACCCUGGACCCGGAUGGUCAGGUCCCAGGUAUAUUUUGAAGAGAAGGACUGUUACUUUGCUAACCACCCCGGGGCUUCCUGACCUCGCAAGCAUUCUGGAAGGCUGCUUUUCCCAUCGAGCUAUUCUUUGAACAGUGCAGUAAUGGAUCAUUCACACAGUUAUCCUUGGCGUGAACGUCUUGGCAUUUUUCUGGGUUUGCUUUUCCUUUGCAACAAAGCACUUCUGAGUCGAAAAGAUCUCUUGCACCUGGGUACGUAUUUGCUCUUGAUGGAAAAAAUGACCUGUCAACAUUAUUUGUGUUAUUACUUCUACACAGUAAUCUUAGUUCUCACGUGUUGAGUUCCUACUGUAGGCAGUGGAGGAUAGCAGAACUCUGAACCCAAGAAACAGGCUAGGAACUUUUCCCCUGGUCUGCCAUGGCCUCCGGUCUUGGCACACUCACGUUAUACUGGAAUUACCCUCAGUGUAGCAUCAUUCUAAAAGA